rnacentral:rRNA from 1 species
GGUAUUGCCUUAUAGCGGCGAGUGAAGCGGCAAUAGCUCAAAUUUGAAAUCUGGCGCCUUCGGUGUCCGAGUUGUAAUUUGAAGAAGGUAUCUUUGGUUUUGGCUCUUGUCUAUGUUCCUUGGAACAGGACGUCACAGAGGGUGAGAAUCCCGUGCGAUGAGAUGCCCAAUUCCAUGUAAAGUUCCUUCGACGAGUCGAGUUGUUUGGGAAUGCAGCUCUAAGUGGGUGGUAAAUUCCAUCUAAAGCUAAAUAUUGGCGAGAGACCGAUAGCGAACAAGUACUGUGAAGGAAAGAUGAAAAGAACUUUGAAAAGAGAGUGAAAAAGUACGUGAAAUUGUUGAAAGGGAAGGGCUUGAGAUUAGACUUGGAAUUUUCCAUUUUUGGAGCUUUCCGGGCCAGCAUCAGUUUGGAUGGCAGGAUAAUUGCGUUGGAAAGUAACACUACUUCGGUGGUGUAUUAUAGACUUCGUCGAUACUGCCUAUCUAGACUGAGGACCGCGUCUUUGACUAGGAUGCUGGCGUAAUGAUCUUAAGCCGCCCGUCUUGAAACACGGACCAAGGAGUCUAACGUCUAUGCGAGUGUUUGGGUG